CACUCUAAAAACUGUACAGUUCAAGACAGAGAUACAAUAUACAAAGAACAGAGAACAAACUCCAAAAAUGAAACGAGAGCCACUGAAAGACAUUACCAACGUGCAAACGGAUAAGAAAAUGACCCAACAGAACACCAAAAAUGGGCAACCAGCCCGCAGAUGCUUCGAGAUCUUUAGAGGAUCUAACUGAUGGGCGGACCAGAGAGUGAGUGUCAGAGAGGAGUCCGAAUAGUAUUAUCAUGUUCAUGGUUAUUUUGAAAAUCUGCAGAACUCACACAGAAUAGAGAAACACACAAAAGACACAAUCUUAAACCACAAGAAAUAAACGACGAAUUUAAUUUUUAUUGGGGUGGGUUGUGUACGUGUCGAUCGGACACAUAUAUAUGUAUGUAUUAACUUGUUAGUCAUUUUCGAUUUGUUUCGCCUGUUCUUCCAUCCUUUACGAUUUCUUUUAGGUCUGUCCUUUUUUAACAUGCUUUCCUCCUCCCUUUUCCUCCUUUUCGUCAUCAGAUAACCGUUCCGGAGUGUUCCAGAUCCUGACUAUUACUGAUAGUGGCAUGUCUCCUUAAAGUACUCGUACGAUUUGAUAUGUUCAAGAGGGUGUUGAGUCUGAGCAACCUGUUUUCCAAAUAUUCCGUCAUAACCUGCCGUUCAUCAGCUGUCGCUGUAAGUUGAAGCAAUACAGAAUCGUUGCGUCUGCGUUGAAGGAGAGCCUCAUUUAAUAUGGAUAUAACUUUGGGGGAGAAUUUCGUUAUGCUUAAGUCCAUUCUGCCUUUUUUCAUAGUGACUGGCACAUUAUGUUGCAACGCUAUAUGCAUGACAGUCUGCAGCUCAUGCGAUGUCAAAGCAUCCACGUUGCUGUCCCACAACUGGCAGUUGCACUCAUUGCUGCAGUCACCAAGAGUAUCAACAUAGAUACUUAUAUCGGGUGGCUGAAGGUAGUGCAUCAGCUGCGUUUUGCUCAGAAUUUGUGUGAUUAUCCGCAAUGAAUCAUCCUCUUCAUAGGGCUCUGUCUAAACAUCCGUAGGAUCAGCGACAAGCUCUGGUGUCACAUGCACACACACAUUCAUAGGCUCUGUUGGAGUCGGCUCUGUGCUAUUUAACUGCCGCCAGGGAAAAUUUUGG
rnacentral:lncRNA from 1 species